UACGUAGGGUCCGAGCGUUGUCCGGAGUUACUGGGCGUAAAGCGCGCGCAGGCGGCGGUUCUGGCCCGGCGUGAAAGCCCCCGGCUCAACCGGGGAGGGUCGUCGGGGACCGCACCGCUUGAGGGCGGUAGGGGCUGGUGGAAUGCCUGGUGUAGUGGUGAAAUGCGUAGAGAUCAGGCGGAACACCCGUGGCGAAGGCGGCCAGCUGGGCCGUCCCUGACGCUGAGGCGCGAAGGCGUGGGGAGCGAACGGG
rnacentral:rRNA from 1 species